CCUACGGGAGGCUGCAGUGAGGAAUAUUGGUCAAUGGGCGGAAGCCUGAACCAGCCAAGUAGCGUGCGGGAUGAAGGCCCUACGGGUCGUAAACCGCUUUUGCACGGGGAUAACACCCUCCACUUGUGGAGGUCUGCAGGUACCGUGCGAAUAAGGGCCGGCUAAUUCCGUGCCAGCAGCCGCGGUAAUACGGAAGGCCCGAGCGUUAUCCGGAUUCAUUGGGCUUAAAGGGAGCGUAGGCGGGCGUUCAAGUCAGCUGUAAAAUCGCGCGGCUCAACCGCGCCCCGCAGUUGAAACUGGACGCAUUGAGUUCACAACAGGCAGGCGGAAUUCGUGGUGUAGCGGUGAAAUGCAUAGAUAUCACGAGGAACCCCGAUUGCGAAGGCAGCCUGCCGGGGUGCGACUGACGCUGAGGCUCGAAGGUGCGGGUAUCAAACAGGAUUAGAUACCCCAGUAGUC
rnacentral:rRNA from 1 species